UACGUAGGGCGCAAGCGUUGUCCGGAAUUAUUGGGCGUAAAGAGCUCGUAGGCGGCUUGUCACGUCGAUUGUGAAAGCCCCGAGGCUUAACCUCGGGUCUGCAGUCGAUACGGGCUAGCUAGAGUGUGGUAGGGGAGAUCGGAAUUCCUGGUGUAGCGGUGAAAUGCGCAGAUAUCAGGAGGAACACCGGUGGCGAAGGCGGGUCUCUGGACAGUUCCUGACGCUGAGGCACGAAGGUCAGGGGAGCAAACGGG
rnacentral:rRNA from 1 species